rnacentral:rRNA from 1 species
GACGGAGGGGGCUAGCGUUGUUCGGAAUUACUGGGCGUAAAGCGCGCGUAGGCGGCGCAUUAAGUCAGAGGUGAAAGCCCGGGGCUCAACCCCGGAAUUGCCUUUGAGACUGGUGUGCUUGAGUACGGAAGAGGUGAGUGGAAUUCCCAGUGUAGAGGUGAAAUUCGUAGAUAUUCGGAGGAACACCAGUGGCGAAGGCGGCUCACUGGCCCGGUACUGACGCUGAGGUGCGAAAGCGUGGGGGAGCAAAACAGGAUUCAGAUACCCCCGUA